rnacentral:rRNA from 1 species
AUUCCGGUUGAUCCUGCCGGGGGGACAUUGCUAUUGGGAUUCGAUUUAGCCAUGCUAGUCGAACGAGUUCAGACUCGUGGCGAAUAGCUCAGUAACACGUGGCCAAGCUCCCCUUCAGUCAGCGAUACCCUCGGGAAACUGAGGUUAACAGCUGAUACAAAACCCCAGCUGGAAUGCGGCGUUUCAGAAAGACAUCGCUGGAGGAUGCGGCUGCGGCCGAUUAGGUAGACGGUGGGGUAACGGCCCACCGUGCCAGUAAUCGGUACGGGUGAUGAGAGUCAGAGCCCGGAGACGGAAUCUGAGACAAGAUUCCGGGCCCUACGGGGCGCAGCAGGCGCGAAACCUUUACACUGCACGGAAGUGCGAUAGGGGAAUCUCAAGUGCGAGGGCAUAUUAGCCCUCGCUUUUCUCGACUGUAAGGUGGUCGACGAAUAAGAGCUGGGCAAGACCGGUGCCAGCCGCCGCGGUAAUACCGGCAGCUCAAGUGAUGUCCCAUAUUAUUGGGCCUAAAGCGUCCGUAGCUA